GAUGAACGCUGGCGGCGUGCCUAAUACAUGCAAGUCGAGCGAACGGACGAGAAGCUUGCUUCUCUGAUGUUAGCGGCGGACGGGUGAGUAACACGUGGAUAACCUACCUAUAAGACUGGGAUAACUUCGGGAAACCGGAGCUAAUACCGGAUGAUAUUAUGAACAGCAUGGUUCAAAAGUGAAAGACGGUCUUGCUGUCACUUAUAGAUGGAUCCGCGCUGCAUUAGCUAGUUGGUAAGGUAACGGCUUACCAAGGCAACGAUGCAUAGCCGACCUGAGAGGGUGAUCGGCCACACUGGAACUGAGACACGGUCCAGACUCCUACGGGAGGCAGCAGUAGGGAAUCUUCCGCAAUGGGCGAAAGCCUGACGGAGCAACGCCGCGUGAGUGAUGAAGGUCUUCGGAUCGUAAAACUCUGUUAUUAGGGAAGAACAUAUGUGUAAGUAACUGUGCACAUCUUGACGGUACCUAAUCAGAAAGCCACGGCUAACUACGUG
rnacentral:rRNA from 1 species